GUCGAGGAUUUUUCUCAAUGGGGGCAACCCUGAAGGAGCGACGCCGCGUGGAGGAUGAAGGGCUUCGGCUCGUAAACUCCUGUCACCGACGAACAAGGCAUCCGGAUUAAUAAAUCGGAUGCUUGAUGGUAGUCGGAGAGGAAGGGGCGGCUAACUCUGUGCCAGCAGCCGCGGUGAUACAGAGGCCCCAAGCGUUGUUCGGAUUUACUGGGCGUAAAGGGUGUGUAGGGGGUCGUGUAAGUUUGACGUGAAAUCCCGUUGCUCAACAACGGAACUGCGUCGAAUACUGCUCGGCUGGAGGUUCGGAGAUGAGGGCGGAAUUCUCGGUGUAGCGGUGAAAUGCGUAGAUAUCGAGAGGAACGCCGAUGGCGAAAGCAGCCCUCAAGACGAAAUCUGACCCUGAAACACGAAGGCCAGGGGAGCAAACGGGAUUAGAUACCC
rnacentral:rRNA from 1 species